AUUGAACGCUGGCGGCAGGCCUAACACAUGCAAGUCGAACGAGUGGCGGACGUGUGAGUAAUGUCUGGGAAACUGCCUGAUGGAGGGGGAUAACUACUGGAAACGGUAGCUAAUACAGCAUACCAUCAGAUGUGCCCAGAUGGGAUUCGCUUGUUGGUGGGGUAACGGCUCACCAAGGCGACGAUCCCUAGCUGGUCUGAGAGGAUGACCAGCCACACUGGAACUGAGACCCGGUCCAGACUCCUACGGGAGGCAGCAGUGGGGAAUAUGGCACAAUGGGCGCAAGCCUGAUGAAGCCAUGCCGCGUGUAUGAAGAAGGCCUUCGGGUGGUAAAGUACUUUCAGCGGUGAGGCGUUACCCGCAGAAGAAGGACCGGCUAACUGCGUUCCAGCAGCCGCGGUAAUAC
rnacentral:rRNA from 1 species